rfam:Lepisosteus oculatus linkage group LG16, whole genome shotgun sequence.
CAUAUCAGCCAUAUCACCCUGCAACUCACAACUGGCAGCCCACUGAAGCUAAGCAGGUGUGAGCCUGGUCAGUACCUGGAUGGGAGACCUCCUGGGGAAAAACUAAGGCUGCUGCUGGAA